rnacentral:rRNA from 1 species
AACGAACGCUGGCGGCAUGCCUAACACAUGCAAGUCGAACGAGACCUUCGGGUCUUGUGGCGCACGGGUGCGUAACGCGUGGGAACCUUCCCUUAGGUUCGGAAUAACUCCCCGCAAGGGGUGCUAAUACCGGAUAAUGUCUUCGGCCCAAAGAUUUAUCGCCUCUGGAUGGGCCCGCGUUGGAUUAGCUAUUUGGUAGGGUAAAAGCCUACCAACGCGACGAUACAUAGCUGGUCUGAGAGGAUGAUCAGCCACACUGGGACUGAGACACGGCCCAGACUCCUACGGGAGGCAGCAGUGGGGAAUGUUGGACAAUGGGCGAAAGCAUGAUCCAGCAAUGCCGCGUGAGUGAUGAAGGCCUUAGGGUUGUAAAGCUCUUUUACCCGGGAUGAUAAUGACAGUACCGGGAGAAUAAGCUCCGGCUAACUACGUG